GAUGAACGCUGGCGGCGUGCCUAACACAUGCAAGUCGAACGGAGUCGUUUUGGAAAUCUCUUCGGAGAUGGAAUUCUCGACUUAGUGGCGGACGGGUGAGUAACGCGUGUGCAAUCUGCCUUUAAGAGGGGGAUAACAGUCGGAAACGGCUGCUAAUACCGCAUAAAGCAUUAAAUUCGCAUGUUUUUGAUGCCAAAGGAGCAAUCCGCUUUUAGAUGAGCUCGCGUCUGAUUAGCUAGUUGGCGGGGUAACGGCCCACCAAGGCGACGAUCAGUAGCCGGACUGAGAGGUUGAACGGCCACAUUGGGACUGAGACACGGCCCAGACUCCUACGGGAGGCAGCAGUGGGGAAUAUUGCGCAAUGGGGGAAACCCUGACGCAGCAACGCCGCGUGAUUGAAGAAGGCCUUCGGGUUGUAAAGAUCUUUAAUCAGGGACGAAACAAAUGACGGUACCUGAAGAAUAAGCUCCGGCUAACUACGUG
rnacentral:rRNA from 1 species